rnacentral:lncRNA from 1 species
UCCAGCGUCCACUCCACAGCUGCAGACGCCCGGCAGACCCUCACCCGAACUCAGGAAGGUGGACAUCCCAGACAGCAGGGAAUAGGGAAACACGUGUUUGCAGUGGAGAAGCAGAGGCCAAGCCGCCCAGGCCUUUCCGGCCAUAGCUUCCUUUUGUGCUGACGGCGUUUGAGCUGAUUCCUUCAGUUAGAAUCCUAAGGGUCUUGGUGCUCUCAGCCCCUGCCCUGCACAGAGUAGCGAUGGAUCC